rnacentral:piRNA from 1 species
UGCCACGAGGAAGACUUUACAAAGUUGUCUU